rnacentral:rRNA from 1 species
AUUGAACGCUGGCGGCGUGCUUAACACAUGCAAGUCGAGCGGCAGCGGGCCCGCAAGGGUGCCGGCGAGCGGCGGACGGGUGAGCAAUACAUAGGAAUCUGCCUCAGAGCGGGGGAUAGCCAGGGGAAACCCUGAUUAAUACCGCAUGACGUCGAGAGACCAAAGUGGGGGAUCGUAAGACCUCACACUCUGAGAUGAGCCUAUGUCGGAUUAGCUAGUUGGCGGGGUAACGGCCCACCAAGGCGACGAUCCGUAGCUGGUCUGAGAGGACGAUCAGCCACACCGGAACUGAGACACGGUCCGGACUCCUACGGGAGGCAGCAGUGGGGAAUAUUGGACAAUGGGCGAAAGCCUGAUCCAGCGACGCCGCGUGGGUGAAGAAGGCCUCGGGUUGUAAAGCCCUUUAAGCCGGGACGAAAAAGCUGCACCUAACACGUGCGGCCUUGACGGUACCGGAGGAAUAAGCACCGGCUAACUCUGUGCCAGCAGCCGCGGUAAUACAGAGGGUGCGAGCGUUAAUCGGAUUUACUGGGCGUAAAGCGUGUGUAGGUGGCUUCCUAAGUCGGUUGUGAAAUCCCUGGGCUCAACCUGGGAAUUGCAGUCGAUACUGGGAAGCUCGAGUUCGGUAGAGGACGGCGGAAUUCCCGGUGUAGCGGUGAAAUGCGUAGAUAUCGGGAGGAACAUCGAUGGCGAAAGCAACCGUCUGGGCCUGAACUGACACUGAGACACGAAAAGCGUGGGGGAGCAAAAC